AUUGAACGCUGGCGGCAGGCCUAACACAUGCAAGUCGAACGAGUGGCGGACGGGUGAGUAAUGUCUGGGAAACUGCCUGAUGGAGGGGGAUAACUACUGGAAACGGUCGCUAAUACCGCAUACCAUCAGAUGUGCCCAGAUGGGAUUAGCUUGUUGGUGGGGUAACUGCUCACCAAGGCGACGAUCCCUAGCUGGUCUGAGAGGAUGACCAGCCACACUGGAACUUAGACACGGUCCAGACACCUGCGGAAGGCAGCAGUGGAGAAUAUUGAACAAUGGGCGAAAGCCUGAUCCAGCCAUGCCGCGUGUGUGAAGCAGGUCUUCGAAUUGUAAAGCACUUUAAGGUGGGGGGCGUUACCAACAGAAUAAGCACCGGCUAACUUCGUGCCAGCCGCCGCGGUAAUAC
rnacentral:rRNA from 1 species